ACUCCUACGGGAGGCAGCAGUGGGGAAUAUUGCACAAUGGGCGCAAGCCUGAUGCAGCGACGCCGCGUGAGGGAUGACGGCCUUCGGGUUGUAAACCUCUUUCAGUAGGGAAGAAGCGAAAGUGACGGUACCUGCAGAAGAAGCACCGGCUAACUACGUGCCAGCAGCCGCGGUAAUACGUAGGGUGCGAGCGUUAUCCGGAAUUAUUGGGCGUAAAGCGCAUGCAGGUGGUUUGUUAAGUCAGAUGUGAAAGCCCGGGGCUCAACCUCGGAAUUGCAUUUGAAACUGGCAGACUAGAGUACUGUAGAGGGGGGUAGAAUUUCAGGUGUAGCGGUGAAAUGCGUAGAGAUCUGAAGGAAUACCGGUGGCGAAGGCGGCCCCUGGACAGAUACUGACACUCAGAUGCGAAAGCG
rnacentral:rRNA from 1 species